rnacentral:rRNA from 1 species
AAACCAACAGGGAUUGCCCCAGUAGCGGCGAGUGAAGCGGCAAGAGCUCAGAUUUGAAAUCGUGUUUCGGCACGAGUUGUAGAGUGUAGGCGGGAGUCUCUGUGGAGCGCGGUGUCCAAGUCCCUUGGAACAGGGUGCCUGAGAGGGUGAGAGCCCCGUAGGGUGCUGCGCGAAGCUUUUGAGGCCCUGCUGACGAGUCGAGUUGUUUGGGAAUGCAGCUCCAAGCGGGUGGUAAAUUCCAUCUAAGGCUAAAUAUUGGCGAGAGACCGAUAGCGAACAAGUACUGUGAAGGAAAGAUGAAAAGCACUUUGAAAAGAGAGUGAAACAGCACGUGAAAUUGUUGAAAGGGAAGGGUAUUGGGCUCGACAUGGGGGGUGCGCACCGCUGUCUCUUGUAGGCGGCGCUCUGGGCGCCCUCUGGGCCAGCAUCGGUUCCUGCUGCGGGAGAAGGGGCUCCGGAAAGUGGCUCUUCGGAGUGUUAUAGCCGGGGCCAGAUGCCGCGUGUGGGGACCGAGGACUGCGGCUUCUGUCUCGGAUGCUGGCAUAACGGCGCAAUACCGCCC